rnacentral:pre_miRNA from 1 species
UGGACUAAUUAUUGUAUUCGAUUUUAUUCACGGCGUGAAACAGGGGAUUACACUGUUUUUAAACGGAAAGUGAAUCAAUUAACAUAAUAGACUCCU